rnacentral:lncRNA from 1 species
CAGUAUCGAUGUUCCUUUUAAACAAGUAUUUGAGUAAAAGCAAUGUUUCCAAUGUGUGUCAGAAAGUGAAUACUUGCAUAUUUCUGCAUGGUUAGAGCUGAGCUUUCCAAGCAAAUUUUACUGGGACCCGGUUGAAAGACAGGUCUUGGAAGUGAAAUGAUGACUGACUAGAUGAAACUGCCAGACUGUCUUCCGAAGUGGCUAUAAUAUUUACACUCCCAUCAGCAGUGUUUAAAGGGGAGAUUGCUUUCAGUUUCUGAAUACCCAUGGAAGGACAUGGUUAUAUUAUGUCAUAUCAUUAUAUCUGACCCAGUUUCUAAGGAUCCAGUUGCUGAUAUAAAUCCAAGAGAUGGGGGUCUCACUACGUUGUCUGGAGUGCAGUGGCUAGAGUGGAGUGGCUAUUCACAGCUGAGUUUGCAGAGUAAACCACUACCCUGAAAUCUGGAGAGGCAGGUGCACCCAUAGAGUCUCAGCUGAGAUCCAAUUACCUGAAAUAGAAGCUGCCAUUAGGAACACUUAAAUGAGCCAGUUCUGCUGCGACACAGAAUCACUUGCUCCAUCUAAUACAUUGAUGAUGAUUAAUUUGUAUGUGUACCUUCCAAAAAAGAUGGUCGUGUUUGAACGGAGGCCUUCUGGACAGGAAAAUAUGGAGAGUGCAUGCUUUGGAUUCAAGACUGGGAAUGAGGGACCAGAAACCUGUUCUGUGGCUGU